rnacentral:rRNA from 1 species
ACUCCUACUGGAGGCAGCCGUACAGCCCGAGCGAUACCGCGAUGAAUACGGAAUACUUCACGUCGCCGAGCCCGAGCUUCCCCCCCGUGGCGAUGGAGAUGGCCCAGAACACCCCGAAGCUGGCGAACACCUCCAGGGCCAGCUCCAACGGGGAGAAUCCCGGGCGCAGCAUCGCAAGGAUGAUGGCGAUGGCCGUGCCCCCCAGGGACAGGGCAUCGGUGAUGCGCAUCUCGCGCAGGUCGAAAACGGUGAUGGGAAGCGCGAACGCGGCGAAGACUGCGACGCGACACAUGUGAAUCAUGGGAACGUUCUCGAAUACCCUCAUUUCAUACCACGGGAGCGCAUCGGACGUCAAACCGGAGAACGACGCGGGCGCCUGCGCCGAAAAGGCGGCCGGUUGACUGCCUCGCUCGGCUCGCGCCAGUAUUCCGCAUCCAUGCCGCCACGCACUGUCACCCCCGAGGCUGCGACCGCCGUCUCCCUUGCUGCCUCCCGUAGGAGU